rnacentral:rRNA from 1 species
UAAUACGUAGGGUGCAAGCGUUAUCCGGAAUUAUUGGGCGUAAAGAGCUCGUAGGCGGUUUGUCGCGUCUGCUGUGAAAACCCGAGGCUCAACCUCGGGCCUGCAGUGGGUACGGGCAAACUAGAGUGCGGUAGGGGAGAUUGGAAUUCCUGGUGUAGCAGUGGAAUGCGCAGAUAUCAGGAGGAACACCGAUGGCGAAGGCAGAUCUCUGGGCCGUAACUGACGCUGAGGAGCGAAAGCGUGGGGAGCGAACAGGA